GCGCCAGUAGCUCAGUUGGAUAGAGUGUUUGGCUACGAACCAAAUGACCUUAUCGUUUGGCGCA
rnacentral:tRNA from 1 species